UACGGAGGGGGCUAGCGUUGUUCGGAAUUACUGGGCGUAAAGCGCACGUAGGCGGCUUUGUAAGUUAGAGGUGAAAGCCUGGGGCUCAACUCCAGAAUUGCCUUUAAGACUGCAUCGCUUGAAUCAUGGAGAGGCGAGUGGAAUUCCGAGUGUAGAGGUGAAAUUCGUAGAUAUUCGGAAGAACACCAGUGGCGAAGGCGGCUCGCUGGACAUGUAUUGACGCUGAGGUGGCGAAAGCGUGGGGAGCAAACAGG
rnacentral:rRNA from 1 species